AUUGAACGCUGGCGGCAGGCCUAACACAUGCAAGUCGAACGGUAACAGGAAACAGCUUGCUGUUUCGCUGACGAGUGGCGGACGGGUGAGUAAUGUCUGGGAAACUGCCUGAUGGAGGGGGAUAACUACUGGAAACGGUAGCUAAUACCGCAUAACGUCGCAAGACCAAAGAGGUGGACCCUCGGGCCUCUUGCCAUCGGAUGUGCCCAGAUGGGAUUAGCUUGUUGGUGGGGUAACGGCUCACCAAGGCGACGAUCCCUAGCUGGUCUGAGAGGAUGACCAGCCACACUGGAACUGAGACACGGUCCAGACUCCUACGGGAGGCAGCAGUGGGGAAUAUUGCACAAUGGGCGCAAGCCUGAUGCAGCCAUGCCGCGUGUAUGAAGAAGGCCUUCGGGUUGUAAAGUACUUUCAGCGGGGAGGAAGGGAGUAAAGUUAAUACCUUUGCUCAUUGACGUUACCCGCAGAAGAAGCACCGGCUAACUCCGUG
rnacentral:rRNA from 1 species